AUGACACUUGACGACAACAACCACAACAACACAUGCAGAUCCUGCAGAUGACAGAUAUUAAUAAUUACACUUUAAACACAAAUAUUACCAGCUAAUCUGCUAAUAAAACCGACACACAACCAGUUUAAAUGGAGGACUCGAGCUUGUCCCGCGACUCAGCUGAAAAGUCUUGUGGACUGUAAGACGUGUGGACAGACACUGACUGUACUGAUGAGGAUCAUCUGCUGCUGCACAGCACAGAUGGAAAGUAAAGGAGUGUGAAGAAAAGACACGACUCAAACACAAACAGACAUUCAGUCUGAGCUAGAAGAGACGUCUAGAAGAACCAGACGAGAAGCUGAAGGUUUGCUCGCCUCAUAAACAUCCAGCUUUAAUGACCAGCAGCUGAAACAGAGACAGUUUGAAGGCCCAAACCUGGACUUCAGCAGCGGCAGUGAAGAUACACUCUUUUAGCCUGAACACCUUUGACAACAGUGACACCAGAUCAACACAGGUACACCGUUUUACUGGCUUCAAGUUGAGCUCCAGCAGAUGACAGCUCAGUGAUAGACUCAUGUCAGUCAACAGCACAUAUUACAGCCCGACAGCGAAGAAAAGCCACACCAAGUGCAGAAAUGGAGAGUAACGCGACUCACCUAUCUUUGACCAGCGCUCAACAGCUGAUGCUCCUCCACACACUCCUCCACAUCCAGGCAGAUUCACAGCUCCAGUAAAGGAUCUACCAAGCCAGGUCAGAGGUCAUGGAGAGCUCUUGAGUGGAACUGGAUUCCUGCUGGAUUGGAAACAACUGUUUCCUGAGUUAUGUGUCAUUUUAUGUGUUAAUUCUGUUUAAAGUCAUUUCCUUUGUGUGCAGGAUAGACUUUCUGUGUAGCAGCAGCUGCCAGUCUGGAUGUAGAUUACACCAGUAUUAACCAGUUUCAGAUAAGACGGCUGAGAGUACGAGAAACAGCCUUGAGGAUGAAACAGGUCGUUCUCUGUAGAGCUGCUCGAUAUUGGAAAUAUGUCACAUUGUGAUAUUUAGAUUUCUGUGAUUUAUAUUGUGAUAUGAGAACAAUUUCACCAGAUGACUUGAACGGCUCUAUGUGUACAGAAUUGAUCAUUUUAGAUUGAUUAGGAUGAUUCUGUAGAGGAGAGCAUCUGAAUAAAUAUAAUAAACAAUCUACAAGCUUAGAUAAAUGCAGCGAAGAGGAAGAUAGAGAUGAAAUAAACAAUGUUUUACUGUUUCCUGAAGAGUCUAACAGUACUCAGGUACAGCAACUGAAUAAUCAAAUGUAAAAUAACACUGCAUAGUCUAGAGCAGUGUUUCCCAACCCUGUUCCUGGAGGCACACCAACAGUACAUAUUUUGGAUGUCUCCCUUUUCUGACCCAUUAACUUCAGGUGUUGGAGUCUCUUCUGAUGUUAUGAUAAGUUGAUUCAGGUCUGUUUGAUUAGGGAGAGGUUGAAAAUGUGUACUGUUGGUGUGCCUUCAGGAACAGGGUUGGGAAACACUGGUCUAGAUAACUGUUAAAUGAACCGUUAUUAAAGUUACGAAUGGAAGAAUUUCUUAGGCCUGAACUGAAAAUCUUCACACAGCCACAGGCCUCAAAAACACAUGCAACUGCUGAACUAUAAUCCAGACUCCACACUGCAGAUGCUGCGAUGUGACUAUAGCAAAUCAUCACAUUGAGAUAUCCAUGCUAAAACGAUAUAUUGUGCUGCCCUCGUUCUUUGUGUGUGCGUUAUAUGAUCACUUUUACAGGUCUGAGGUCAGCUCUGGAUAGACGGCAGACUGUCUGACCUGCGGCUCCUGUCUCAGAUGCAGAUACAAACCCACAUCUGCAGACCUGUUUGGAAACUGUCUGUCUUUGCUUUAACUGAUCAGGAUCUUUAUACCUUUGUUGACGCCAUUUGUGGCCCUCUGUCAGAGUAUAAUUGCUGUGUUUUUGUUAUUGUAAGGCAGCGAGAUCGGCCAGCCAACUCUAUGUGAGUGUCACAGAACGGCAAACUGUCUUCAGUAAACUCUCUUAAUCUUAUUGAAUCUCCGGCUCGGAGUCUUCUCUUGAUCGGACACACCAGUCGUUUUGGUCUCAACUGUAAAUUUCCCUCCUAACAAUGUGUCUGUGUGUUUAACCACUUUUUAACUUUUACAGCAUAAACUCAACAUCUAAUCAGUAAUAAGUGAUUAUUUUUGCUCUCUUUAUUCAGAACUUCAGCUCAAAUUCUUGAUUAACAAUGUGGAAAUAUCAAACCAAUAUGAAUGUAACAUAAAAGAAUUCCCAAAAGCUGAUGACUACAGACUUAACAUCAAAUAUUGAUAAAUGAAGUGUAAAACAUGAAUAUUGUACUGUAAAGCGUGUGACUUUCUCACCAUGAUGUUCUUCACUCCAGAUUGUCAUUUAGCCUGUGUGUAUUUAAUGCGCCUCUCAUCAAUAAACAAAUAAUAA